rnacentral:rRNA from 1 species
GUCGAGAAUCUUUCACAAUGGGGGCAACCCUGAUGGAGCGACGCCGCGUGGAGGAUAAGGUCUUCGGAUUGUAAACUCCUGUCAUGCGUGAACAAGGUUGCUUGGUUAAUACCUGGGCAAAUUGAUGGGAACGCAAGAGGAAGAGACGGCUAACUCUGUGCCAGCAGCCGCGGUAAUAAAGAGGUCUCAAGCGUUGUUCGGAAUCACUGGGCGUAAAGGGUGCGUAGGUGGCGUGGUAUGUCAGAUGUGAAAGCCCGGGGCUCAACCUCGGAACUGCAUCCGAUACGGCCAUGCUAGAGUACUGGAGAGGUGACUAGAAGUCUGGGUGUAGCAGUGAAAUGCGUAGAGAUCGAGAGGAAUACCAAAGGCGUAGGCAGGGCACUGGACAGUGACUGACACUGAGGCACGAAGGCCAGGGGAGCGAACGGGAUUAGAUUCCCCGGUAGUCC